GGACAGUUGCUGGAGCCAUGGUAGAACC
rnacentral:piRNA from 1 species